rnacentral:rRNA from 1 species
GACGAACGCUGGCGGCGUGCCUAAUACAUGCAAGUCGAACGCAGUGGGGACGGGUGAGUAACACGUGGGUAACCUCCCAUCAGAGGGGAUAACAGUUGGAAAUAGGUGCUAAACCGAUACUGAUGGAUGGACCCGCGGUGCAUGAGCUAGUUGGUGGGGUGACGGCUCACCAAGGCCACGAUGCAUAGCCGGUCUGAGAGGUGGAUGGGCCACACUGGAACUGGGGCACGGCACAGAGUCCAGCGGUAGGCAGCAGGAGGGAGUCGUGGGUAAUGGACAAAAGUCUGACCGAGCAACGCCGCGUGAGUGAAGAGGGUUUUCGGAUCUUAAGACUUAGAUGUUAGAGAAGCGGUAUCUAGCGAGAAAGCGACGGCUAACUACGUGCCAGCAGCCGCGGUAAUUC